GGACCCGUGGCCCAAUUGGCAAGGCGUUUGACUACGAUUGAAUCUCUCUAUUCACAUCAAAAGAUUGUGGGUUCGAAUCCCACCGGGUUCA
rnacentral:tRNA from 3 species